rnacentral:rRNA from 1 species
CAGCAGCCGCGGGAAUACAGAGGGUGCGAGCGUUAAUCGGAUUUACUGGGCGUAAAGCGUGUGUAGGUUGUUGUUCAAGUCAGUUGUGAAAUCCCUGGGCUCAACCUGGGAGCUGCUUCUGAGACUGAACGACUAGAGUACGGUAGAGGGUGGUGGAAUUUCCGGUGUAGCGGUGAAAUGCGUAGAUAUCGGAAGGAACAUCAAUGGCGAAGGCAGCCACCUGGGCCUGUACUGACACUGAGACACGAAAGCGUGGGGAUCAAACAGGAUUAGAGACCCCGGUAGUCCCUGUCUCUUAUAC